GGAUCUGGAGACUUUUCUAGUUGCUCUUGUGUAGUUUAGUUGGUGUCAUGCAUAUACAGGAAGAGGAUUUUUUCACUGCAGAUUCAUUUGUGAAAACUGUCACUGACACAUUAAGCUGCAGAUAUUUCUGUCAUUUGGGUGUCGACGCUGAGACAUUCACACUGCAGCACGUUUUAUGAUUGCAGAAAUCAGUAUGGCGACAUCACUCAUGACGUCACUUCCUCUGAUCUUCGUGAUCAUGACUGCGGGGGGUGAUGGUCAGCAGGAUUGGGGAGUGAAUUACAGCCCUUCAUAUAUUGUGCAU